AUCGAUGAAGAACGCAGCGAAAUGCGAUAAGUAAUGUGAAUUGCAGAAUUCAGUGAAUCAUCGAAUCUUUGAACGCACAUUGCGCCCUCUGGUAUUCCGGAGGGCAUGCCUGUUCGAGCGUCAUUUGCUAAACUCAAGCCUACUUGUAGGCCUGGUCUUGGGUGCUGUCCUCUCUGGAGGACACACCUCAAAUGCAACGGCGACACUGCCUGGCUUCAAGCGUCUAGGAAACUUCAUCGCUUCUGUCAGAUAAAUGUCUGCCUCUCAACCCCAAUUUUUAUUCUGGGUUGACCUCGGAUCAGGUAGGGAUACCCGCUGAACUUAAGCAUAUCAAUAAGCGGAGGAAAAGAAACCAACAGGGAUUGCCUCAGUAACGGCGAGUGAAGCGGCAACAGCUCAAAUUUGAAAUCUGGGUCUUUCAGGCUCCGAGUUGUAAUUUGUAGAGGGAUCUUCGGGUGUGGUCCGGCCUAAGUUUCAUGGAACUGAACAUCAUAGAGGGUGAGAAUCCCGUAUGCGGCCGGGUGCCUAUAUCCAUGUGAAGUCUCUUCGACGAGUCGAGUUGUUUGGGAAUGCAGCUCAAAAUGGGUGGUAAAUUUCAUCUAAAGCUAAAUACCGGCGAGAGACCGAUAGCGCACAAGUAGAGUGAUCGAAAGAUGAAAAGCACUUUGGAAAGAGAGUUAAAAAGUACGUGAAAUUGUUGAAAGGGAAGCGCUUGCAAUCAGACUUGCCUUCAGCUUAUCAUCCGGUGUUCUCACCGGUGCACUAGGUUGUUGUCAGGCCAGCAUCGGUUUUGGCGGCUGGAUAAAGGCCUUGGGAAUGUGGCCCCUCUCGGGGGGUGUUAUAGCCCAGGGUGCAAUGCAGCCAGCUGGGACCGAGGACCGCGCUUCGGCUAGGAUGCUGGCGUAAUGGUUGUAAGCGACCCGUCUU
rnacentral:rRNA from 1 species